rnacentral:tRNA from 11 species
GAGGCCCAGUGGCUAAGACACCGGACUCGCAACCUGGGGAUCGUAUGUUCCAGUCCG